UUCAAGUAAUCCAGGAUAGACUGUGUACAUUGUAGUUGGCCUAUUCUUGAUUACUUGCAUU
rnacentral:pre_miRNA from 1 species